UACGUAGGGUGCGAGCGUUAAUCGGAAUUACUGGGCGUAAAGCGUGCGCAGGCGGUUCGUUGUGUCGGCGGUGAAAGCCCCGGGCUCAACCUGGGAAUGGCCGUUGAAACUGGCGAACUGGAGUGUGGCAGAGGGGGGUGGAAUUCCGCGUGUAGCAGUGAAAUGCGCAGAUAUGCGGAGGAACACCGAUGGCGAAGGCAAUCCCCUGGGCCUGCACUGACGCUCAUGCACGAAAGCGUGGGGAGCAAACAGG
rnacentral:rRNA from 1 species